AGGGCACCACCAGGAGUGGAGCCUGCGGCUUAAUUUGACUCAACACGGGAAAACUUACCUGGUCCUGACACUAGAAGGAUUGACAGAUUGAUAGCUCUUUCUUGAUUUGGUGGAUGGUGGUGCAUGGCCGUUCUUAGUUGGUGGAGUGAUUUGUCUGGUUAAUUCCGAUAACGAACGAGACUCUAGCCUAUUAAAUAACACGCAGAAUCUUGUCUUCUGCGGUGUUUCUUAAUGGGAUCAAGUGUGUUUAACGCUUUGAAACAGAGCAAUAACAGGUCUGUGAUGCCCUUAGAUGUUCGGGGCUGCACGCGCGCUACAUUGAAAGACAAAAUGAGCCUUCUAGUUUUUAAUAAAGCUAGUAAUCUUUGAAUGUUUUUCUUAAUGGGGAUAGGGGAUUGCAAUUGUGCCCCUUGAACGAGGAAUUCCCAGUAAGUGCUAAUCAUUAGUUAGUACUGAUUACGUCCCUGCCCUUUGUACACACCGCCCGUCGCUACUACCGAUUGAAUGGUUUAGUGAGAU
rnacentral:rRNA from 1 species